CCUACGGGGGGCUGCAGUGGGGAAUAUUGGACAAUGGGCGAAAGCCUGAUCCAGCCAUGCCGCGUGUGUGAAGAAGGCCUUCGGGUUGUAAAGCACUUUCAGUGGGGAAGAAAGCCUUGGGGCUAAUACCCUCGAGGAAGGACAUCACCCACAGAAGAAGCACCGGCUAACUCCGUGCCAGCAGCCGCGGUAAUACGGAGGGUGCGAGCGUUAAUCGGAAUUACUGGGCGGAAAGCGCGCGUAGGCGGUCUGAUAAGCCGGUUGUGAAAGCCCCGGGCUCAACCUGGGAACGGCAUCCGGAACUGUCAGGCUAGAGUGCAGGAGAGGAAGGUAGAAUUCCCGGUGUAGCGGUGAAAUGCGUAGAGAUCGGGAGGAAUACCAGUGGCGAAGGCGGCCUUCUGGACUGACACUGACGCUGAGGUGCGAAAGCGUGGGUAGCAAACAGGAUUAGAUACCCUAGUAGUC
rnacentral:rRNA from 1 species